rnacentral:rRNA from 1 species
GUGCCAGCCGCCGCGGUAAUACGUAGGGUGCGAGCGUUGUCCGGAAUUACUGGGCGUAAAGAGCUCGUAGGUGGUUUGUUGCGUCGUCUGUGAAAUUCCGGGGCUUAACUUCGGGGUGGCAGGCGAUACGGGCAUAACUAGAGUGCUGUAGGGGAGACUGGAAUUCCUGGUGUAGCGGUGGAAUGCGCAGAUAUCAGGAGGAACACCGAUGGCGAAGGCAGGUCUCUGGGCAGUAACUGACGCUGAGGAGCGAAAGCAUGGGGAGCGAACAGGAUUAGAUACCCUGGUAGUCCAUGCUGUAAACGGUGGGCGUUAGGUGUGGGGACCGGUUUGGUUUCUGUGCCGUAGCUAACGCAUUAAGCGCCCCGCCUGGGGAGUACGGCCGCAAGGCUAAAACUCAAAGAAAUUGCGG